CUUCAUAAUUUUUUCCGGUUUUCUUCUCAUAUCCAAACACUUUCACUCAUCCAUACCUUCAAUUUUCCACUAUCCAAUCCAAGCAGUAGGAAGAGAAGUCGUGUCUGCAACCAUUAAGACACAAACAAGUUUCAGUCAACCACGUGAAGCUAGAGAAAAGUACAAGCUAUAAACACAAAGUGGGAAAUUAAAAAAUGGAUAAUAUAAAGGCGAUUUAGUGCAUAUGUGCUUACAUCAUCGCAUCCUCCACUUUGAAAGAUAAUAACGUUCAAAGCCAAAGCAAGGUUUGCUUCGUGGAUAACAGAAAGCCAAUGAUUUGGUAUAUUUAUACUAUAACUCUUAUGGUCAAAAAGACAGCAUCAUUUUUAGCUUUUACCACAUUUUCUGAGACAAACAAACCUUAGUCUUUGGUCUGUUUCAAUGGCAAAAACAAUUCAUAUAGCUGUUGUUUCAAGUCCUGGUUUCAGCCACCUGGUCCCUAUAAUUGAGUUCACUAAGCGACUUCUCAAGCUUCACCCAAAUUUUCAUGUCACCUGCAUCAUUCCCUCACUUGGGUCACCCCCAGAAUCCUCCAAAGCCUACCUUAAGACUCUUCCUUCAAACAUUCACUCCAUCUUUCUUCCUCCAAUCAGCAAAGAACAAUUUCCCCAAGAAGUAUACGUGGGACUCCUAAUUCAACUCACUGUUAUUCUUUCUCUGCCAUCAAUACACGAGGUUCUGAAAUCCUUGUCAUCUAAAGUCCGUUUAACCGCAUUGGUGGCUGAUGUUUUUGCAUUUCAAGUCUUGGAAUUUGCAAAGGAAUUCCACGCCUUGUCCUACUUUUACUGUCCUGGUUCAGCUAUGGUAUUGUCACUGCUUUUACACCUGCCAAAACUUGAUGAGGAAGUUUCGGGUGAGUAUAAGGACCUAGCGGAACCUAUAAAGUUACCAGGUUGUGUACCACUCUUGGGAGUUGAUCUUCCUGCACCAACCCAAAAUCGAUCAAGUGAAGCUUACAAGAGUUUUCUUGAACGUGCCAAAGCAAUGGUUAUAGCAGAUGGGAUUAUCAUCAACACCUUCUUAGAAAUGGAAUCAGGUGCUAUAAGAGCAUUGGAAGAACGGGGAAAUGGGAAGAUCAAAUUGUACCCUGUGGGACCGAUUACACAGAAAGGGUCAGACAAUGAGGCUGAUGGGUGUUUAAGAUGGUUGGACAAGCAGCCAAAUUGUUCAGUGUUGUAUGUUUCUUUUGGAAGUGGUGGAACACUCUCCCAACACCAAAUCAACGAGUUAGCUUGGGGUUUGGAAUUGAGUGGUCAAAGGUUCUUGUGGGUUUUGAGAGCACCAAACAGUUCAGCAAGUGGUGCUUACCUUGAGGCUGCAAAGGAGGACCCUUUGGAAUUCUUACCAAAAGGGUUUUUGGAAAGGACAAAGGAGAAAGGUUUGGUUGUGGCUUCAUGGGCACCUCAGGUGCAAGUGCUUGGUCACAGUUCAGUUGGUGGGUUCCUAAGCCAUUGUGGGUGGAACUCGACUUUGGAGAGUGUGCUAGAGGGAGUGCCUCUAAUAACAUGGCCACUCUUUGCAGAGCAGAGGAUGAAUGCAGUGAUGUUAUCCGAUGGACUAAAAGUGGCAUUGAGGCCAACAUUUAACGACGAUGGCAUAGUGGAAAAGGAGGAAAUUGCAAAGGUCAUAAACUCCUUGAUGGACGCAGAAAUAGGUCAAGAUGGUUCUUCAUUCUGCUGCUAAUGCACUGAAAGAUGGUUCUUCAAAACAAACCUUGUCACAUUUGACUAGUCAAUGGGAAAAUUAGAGUGAGAAUUAUUAGGAACCUAGUUUUUUUCUUAAAUUGUUUUCCUAUUAGCUGUGCUUUGUGCUUUUCCUAGUUUGUUUUCUUCCUGGAUUGAGUAGUUAACUAUCCCUGAUACAUAGGUAGUUAACGGUGAUUGUGUGGUUUGGAAGAUGUAUCUUUGAAACAUAACAUAGACAUCUUAGUUUAGUUUUAAUUUGAAUUUCAAGUUUGAUUAUAGAAGGGUAGAUGUUAUUUUUAAGUCAUUUCUUGCAAAGAUAACUCCCAAUUUCAGAAGUUGUUCAGGACACAUUGACCACAUGCUCAAGCUACUUAAGGGCAUAAGACAGAUAUAUACCCUUUCGAAUCAUGAGAAACUUGAUUCACUUCGUGCAUCACUCGUGACUUCAUGAGGUGUGUACCUUCCUAAAAUGUGAUCGGUCUCAAACUCAAAUCACUUCAUGCACAAUUCAAUAAUUAAGGGAUUCUAAUCCACCUAUAUCAUAUAUUAUGAUAAGGGAUAAUGAAGGAAGAAACACAAUAAGAUUAAUAUGUUUCAAUUGAAUUAUUAAUUUAUUUCAAUUUUCUUCUAUAAUUUGAACUUUUUCUUUUAAUAAACAUUCACUCAAUUAACACACAAGUCUCAAAUAAAAAUAAUGUUAAUACAAAGUUUUAGAUAUAUAAAUAUAAUUAUUAUAACUACUUUUGUAAAUCACACCCAUGAACAGUAUUUUUGUAAUUGAGCUCGAAAUGUUAAGUAGAUAGGCUUUAUGAUGACAUACACAUUGAUAAGACAGACAAACUAGUGAAGACGAACAAUUUUAUAUCAUCAUUAGAUGAUCUUCAACUUUCAUAUUGUUUAUGAUAUCAAAUGGUCUAACAACCUUAACAAAGUUUAAUGAACUAAUAUUAAUACUAAUAAUAACAUGAAUCUUAUUAAAUUAUACCAAUUUUCAUUUUCAGUUUCUUUAAUUUUUUAUAAUCCUUGUAAUGAACAAGCUUGUCACUUUUUUGUUUUAGUAUUCUAUUUUCCUUAGAUAUUGCAAAAUGACCAUGCUACAAAUUAAUUCAUGUAUAAAUUAUUGAUUUGAAAGCACAAGGUUUUAGGAAAGUAGAGCGAAUCAAAGCCACGUCCAGGGCCAAUAUAAAACUUAAGAUUUGGGUGAAACCAUAAAGCUAAAGAAAGAAAAAGACAAAGUAGGUAAUAAAUAAUAGAUAUAGAUAUAGAUAUACCGUUGGUGUGGAUAUGCAUUAUGCAUCAUCAUCCCUCUGAUAAUUUGAAAGCUAUGCAUAAUAACACAGAUUUCAAGAAUUUGUGAGCACGUUUAACAUCUAUAUUCUGUUCUCAUGACAAAAACUAAUCGCAUUGCAAUUGUUUCAAAAGUCCUGGUUUCAGUUAUCUGGUCCCAAUAAUGAAUUCAGCAAGAGACUUGUAAAGCGUCACCAAAAUUUUCAUGUCACAUGCAUCAUUUCCUAACUUAGUUCAUCGCCAUGAUCUUCCAAAGCCUAUCUUAAAACCCUUCCUCCAUUCGUAGACUUCAAUUUUCUUCCUCCAAUUCAAAAAGAACUAUUACCACCAGGAGGGUACGUUGUUAUUCAUUCCCUGCCAUCAACCUGUAACUGCGUUGAUGUUAGAUGUUCUUCCAUUUCAAGCGAUGGAUUUUGCAAAGGAAUUCAAUUCGUUGACCUAGUUUUACUAUCUUCUUAAUGUCUUUGCUUCUUCACAUGCCAAAAAUUGAUGAGCAUAUUUCAGGUGAGUUCAACAACUUAGCAGGAC
rnacentral:lncRNA from 1 species